rnacentral:rRNA from 1 species
AAAAACAUCUCUUAUAAUAUUAUAAUAAGUAAGAUCUGCUCCAUGUUUAUAUAAAUAGCCGCAGAUACCUCUGUGCUAAGGUAGCAUAGUCAUUAGUCUUUUAAUUCAAGACUAGAAUGAAAGAUCUAACAUUUUAAUUUAUUUUUUCACUUAAAUAAUUUAAAUUUAAUUAAGAAUAAAAAUGUUCUUAUAUAAAAAAAAGACGACAAGACCCUAUUGAACUUAACUAUAGUUUAGCUGGGGAAGCUUAUUAAAAAUAAUUUUAAUUUAUACAAAUAACGAAACAUCCAAUAAAAUUGAUUAAACAAGUUACCAUAGGGAUAACAGCGUAAUACUAUUUUAAAGUUCUUAUUAAAAAUAUAGAUUGCGACCUCGAUGUUGAAUU